rnacentral:tRNA from 1 species
AGAAAGAUAAGCUAAGAAAAGCUAUUAGGCUCAUACCCUAAAUAUAGAUUUAAAAGUCUUCUUUCUA